AUUCAAGUAGUUUAUUUAAAAUAACAAUUUGUGGUGUUGCAGAUAUUUAUAAUCUUGAGUG
rnacentral:tRNA from 1 species